AGUGAACGCUGGCGGCAGGCCUAACACAUGCAAGUCGAGCGGCAGCGCGGGGGCAACCCUGGCGGCGAGCGGCGGACGGGUGAGGAAUUCGUCGGAAUCUGCCUUUUUGUGGGGGAUAACGUAGGGAAACUUACGCUAAUACCGCAUACGUCCUACGGGAGAAAGUGGGGGACCGCAAGGCCUCACGCAGAAAGAUGAGCCGACGACCGAUUAGCUAGUUGGUGGGGUAAAGGCCCACCAAGCCGACGAUCGGUAGCUGGUCUGAGAGGAUGAUCAGCCACACUGGGACUGGGACACGGCCCAGACUCCUACGGGAGGGAGCAGUGGGGAAUAUUGGACAAUGGGCGGAAGCCUGAUCCAGCCAUGCCGCGUGUGUGAAGAAGGCCUCCGGGUUGUAAAGCACUUUUGUCCGGAAAGAAAUCCCUGGAGCUAAUACCUUCGGGGGAUGACGGUACCGGAAGAAUAAGCACCGGCUAACUUCGUG
rnacentral:rRNA from 1 species